GGGAAUGUGGCUUAGUGGUAGAGUGCUUGCCUAGCAUGCAUGAAGCCCUGGGUUCAAUUCCUCAGGACCA
rfam:Dipodomys ordii contig_35066, whole genome shotgun sequence.